AGUGAACGCUGGCGGUAGGCCUAACACAUGCAAGUCGAACGGCAGCACAGGAGAGCUUGCUCUCUGGGUGGCGAGUGGCGGACGGGUGAGGAAUACAUCGGAAUCUACUUUUUCGUGGGGGAUAACGUAGGGAAACUUACGCUAAUACCGCAUACGACCUACGGGUGAAAGCAGGGGAUCUUCGGACCUUGCGCGAUUGAAUGAGCCGAUGUCGGAUUAGCUAGUUGGCGGGGUAAAGGCCCACCAAGGCGACGAUCCGUAGCUGGUCUGAGAGGAUGAUCAUCCACACUGGAACUUAGACACGGUCCAGACUCCUACGGGAGGCAGCAGUGGGGAAUAUUGGACAAUGGGCGCAAGCCUGAUCCAGCCAUACCGCGUGGGUGAAGAAGGCCUUCGGGUUGUAAAGCCCUUUUGUUGGGAAAGAAAUCCAGCUGGUUAAUACCCGGUUGGGAUGACGGUACCCAAAGAAUAAGCACCGGCUAACUUCGUGCCAGCAGCCGCAGUAA
rnacentral:rRNA from 1 species